rnacentral:rRNA from 1 species
GAUGAACGCUAGCGGCAGGCCUAAUACAUGCAAGUCGAACGCUCAGUAGCAAUACUGGGAGUGGCGCACGGGUGCGUAACGCGUACACAAUCUACCUCUAAGCGGGGGACACCUCCUGGAAACGGGGAUUAAUACCGCAUAAUAUGCCGAAGUCGCAUGACUUUGGUAUUAAAGCAGCAAUGCACUUAGAGAUGAGUGUGCGUCCCAUUAGGUAGUUGGUGAGGUAACGGCUCACCAAGCCUAUGAUGGGUAGCCGGUCUGAGAGGAUGGUCGGCCACACGGGCACUGAGACACGGGGCCCGACUCCUACGGGAGGCAGCAGUAGGAAUAUGGUCAAUGGUGGAAACACUGAACCAGCCAUGCCGCGUGGAGGAAUAAGGUCCUACGGAUUGU